AGUGGCGGACGGGUGAGUAACGCGUAAGAAUCUAACUUCAGGACGGGGACAACAGUGGGAAACGACUGCUAAUACCCGAUGUGCCGCAAGGUGAAACCUAAUUGGCCUGGAGAAGAGCUUGCGUCUGAUUAGCUAGUUGGUGGGGUAAAGGCCUACCAAGGCGACGAUCAGUAGCUGGUCUGAGAGGAUGAGCAGCCACACUGGGACUGAGACACGGCCCAGACUCCUACGGGAGGCAGCAGUGGGGAAUUUUCCGCAAUGGGCGAAAGCCUGACGGAGCAACGCCGCGUGAGGGAGGAAGGUCUUUGGAUUGUAAACCUCUUUUCUCAAGGAAGAAGUUCUGACGGUACUUGAGGAAUCAGCCUCGGCUAACUCCGUGCCAGCAGCCGCGGUAAUACGGGGGAGGCAAGCGUUAUCCGGAAUUAUUGGGCGUAAAGCGUCCGCAGGUGGUCAGCCAAGUCUGCCGUCAAAUCAGGUUGCUUAACGACCUAAAGGCGGUGGAAACUGGCAGACUAGAGAGCAGUAGGGGUAGCAGGAAUUCCCAGUGUAGCGGUGAAAUGCGUAGAGAUUGGGAAGAACAUCGGUGGCGAAAGCGUGCUACUGGGCUGUAUCUGACACUCAGGGACGAAAGCUAGGGGAGCGAAAGGAAUUAGAUACCCCUGUAGUCCUAGCCGUAAACGAUGGAUACUAGGCGUGGCUU
rnacentral:rRNA from 1 species